UACGUAGGGUGCGAGCGUUGUCCGGAAUUAUUGGGCGUAAAGAGCUCGUAGGCGGUCUGUCGCGUCGAUCGUGAAAACUUGGGGCUUAACCCUGAGCUUGCGGUCGAUACGGGCAUGACUGGAGUUCGGCAGGGGAGACUGGAAUUCCUGGUGUAGCGGUGAAAUGCGCAGAUAUCAGGAGGAACACCGGUGGCGAAGGCGGGUCUCUGGGCCUGUACUGACGCUGAGGAGCGAAAGCGUGGGGAGCGAACAGG
rnacentral:rRNA from 1 species